ACUCAAAGGAAUAGACGGGGGCCCGCACAAGCGGUGGAGCAUGUGGUUUAAUUCGACGCAACGCGAAGAACCUUACCUACUCUUGACAUCCUCAGAACGCUGGAGAGAUCUAGUGGUGCCGAAAGGAACUGAGAGACAGGUGCUGCAUGGCUGUCGUCAGCUCGUGUUGUGAGAUGUUGGGUUAAGUCCCGUAACGAGCGCAACCCUUAUCCUUAGUUGCCAGCACGUAGUGGUGGGGACUCUAAGGAGACUGCUGGUGAAGAACCGGAGGAAGGCGGGGACGACGUCAAGUCAUCAUGGCCUUUAUGAGUAGGGCUACACACGUGCUACAAUGGGUCGUACAGAGGGUAGCGAAGCUGCGAAGUGUAGCCAAUCCCGCAAAGCGACUCGUAGUCCGGAUUGAAGUCUGCAACUCGACUUCAUGAAGUCGGAAUCGCUAGUAAUCGCGAAUCAGCAUGUCGCGGUGAAUACGUUCCCGGGCCUUGUACACACCGCCCGU
rnacentral:rRNA from 1 species